CUGAAAACUGUGUUUCUACAUGUCAUAGACUCUGCUACUCUGGAAGGAAAAGAAUGAAAUUCUGCCUCUAGAAGUGAUAAUCUCUAUUUAAUCCUCUGUGGUUUGACAGUUGGAUACAUUUUAGAUGAAGCAAUAGAAAACUGGAUAUAAAAGGAAAAGUUUUUCCUUGCAAGGUAUUAAAACCAUUCUUAAGACUCAAUUGGCUCAAGAAUCUGAAGAUUUAUGCUACUUACAUACUUACAGCACUUCCUAAUUGCCUGAGUACAAACUAGCCACCCAGAUAUCCCCUUACUCUCUGAUGCUGACAAACCAUGGGCAACUAAGAGGCAGGGAGCCUCUCUCAGGACUAACUCUGCCAAGUACAUAAAGGCUCAUCACCAGGAGGUUGGCCAUUUGAGUAAGAAUUCUUUGGCCAUGGAAAACCACCAAAAAACACAUAUACAAAUAAAUAAAUUGUCAUUGGAAGGGAAGAGAACAUUAACCACUGGGAGAUCUGAAAAAUGAGGUUUCCUAAGAUAUGACACCUCAGAGUUCUUUCCACAGUUUGAAAAUCUCUCAUCUAGAAGAAAAAAAAAAGAGUGCCUCAGACAGAGCCUGGAGGGACAUCCAUGUAAAGUGCUUGCUGCUAUAUUUUUCUGAUUCCUGGUACAACUGUCCAGUCUUCUUCCUAGCACCUGCUGCUAAGUAAGUUCUUCCCUGAUUUUUUUUUGGGGGGGGGGCUCAUCUACAGUAUGAUUUAUCUGUUGCCCCCUAAAGUCUGGUACUAAUAGCUGCACUUUCUCUCUACAUUUUUCUAAUGUAGGAAAGGAGUUCCUGUACCUAGUCUGAAUCUUAAAAAAUCAAUCCCCU
rnacentral:lncRNA from 1 species